rnacentral:tmRNA from 1 species
GGGAGUGAUCGGCCUCGAGGAAGAGUACGGUUUCACGCGUUCAGGCAGAGUAUGUGAAGCUCGCUCUUAAAAUUAUCUUCACAACACAAUAAGUGCAAACUUAUUUAAAAAAGUAGCUGCUGUUUUUGGUUCGCCAAUGCAGCUUGCCACUUCUUACGCUUAACGCGUAGGCAUCCGGUCUUUUGAUUCUCGCUAAGAAGAAUCCGGGUGUAAUAUUAGCGAGGCAAUGUUAAAUAAGCCCGCCUUAACAUUUGAAUAAGGGCAAAAGUCUUGGCUAACGCUGAGCAACUAAGCUUGUCAACCGCCGAAUUCAAACUUUUCCGACCCGGGUUCGAUUCCCGGCACUUCCACAA